rnacentral:pre_miRNA from 1 species
GCUAGGAAGAGGAAGAAAGAGAGGGCCUAAGAGCAAUGGGGAUGAGAGCAUAGAGGAAAGCCUAAGUUGUCGGUUCUUCACCUCUUGUGUUGAGGUGGAAAUACCGUUUGGUAUUUCCUGAUGCCUCUCAUUCCUAUUGUUCUUAAGCGCUCCUUCCUCAUCCUUUUUGUU